ACACGGACCAAGGAGUGCAAGAGGCGUGCGAGUCUUUGGGGUUGUCAAACCCUCGGGCGGAAUGAAAGUGAAGGGGACUCCGGUCUCCGAGGCGAGAGCUCGCUCCCAGUGCGGGCGCAUCGUCGACCGAUCCCAGGCUACGCUGUGGCGGGAUUCGAGUGAGAGCGUGCCUGUUGCGACCCGAAAGAUGGUGAACUAUGCCUGAAUAGGGCGAAGCCAGAGGAAACUCUGGUGGAAGCUCGCAGCGGUUCUGACGUGCAAAUCGAUCGUCAAAUUUGGGUAUAGGGGCGAAAGACUAAUCGAACCGUCUAGUAGCUGGUUCCCUCCGAAGUUUCCCCCAGGAUAGCUGGAGCCCGGUGCAGUUUUAUCAGGUAAAGCGAAUGAUUAGAGGUCUUGGGGUUGAAACAACCUCAACCUAUUCUCAAACUUUAAAUGGGUAAGAAGCUCGGCUUGCUCAACUGAAGUCGGGCGUGGAAUGCCGGGGCUCCUAGUGGGCCAUUUUUGGUAAGCAGAACUGGCGAUGCGGGAUGAACCGAACGYCGGGUUAAGGUGCCCGAAUCGACGCUCAUCAGACACCAUAAAAGGUGUUGGUUGAUUUAGACAGCAGGACGGUGGCCAUGGAAGUCGGAAUCCGCUAAGGAGUGUGUAACAACU
rnacentral:rRNA from 1 species